CUGGAGAAUUUGAUGAAUUCUAUGCAUCUGAAAGGCCUCCGAUGCUUAAGACCUUUUUUUUCUUUUCAAGUCUCAAACAUUUAUUGAACACGUAUAUGUGCCAAGCGCUAUUCUCAAACUGCCCCAUGAGGAAUGGACCACAGAGCUCCAUUUUACAGAUGGGGAAACUGAGAUGGGAGGAUGAGCCUGAGACCACACAGGAAGCAAAGCCUACAGCUUCCAAGAUGAAGCAUGGAAUUCCAGACUGAGGGGCUUUACAAGUUCAUCUCUCUCCCUACAUCCAACUCAGUCUGCUCCUACAACAGAUCCCACUGCCAGAGAGACAGUAAACAGGCACUUUUACUUACCACAAAGAGAGGCAUGGACCUUACUUUGGUGAAGCAACUGGGGGCUCUUCGUGG
rnacentral:lncRNA from 1 species